AACGCACAUUGCGCCCGCCAGCAUUCUGGCGGGCAUGCCUGUCCGAGCGUCACUCAUACCCGUCAAGCGAGGCUUGUGUUGGGGCACUGCGGCCGCCGCAGGCCCCCAAAUGCAGCGGCGGGACCGCCCCCGCGCCGAGCGCAGUACGUUGCCUCGCUCCGGCGCGCGGGCGGCCUCCGCCUCAGCACUUUAGCUAGCUGACCUCGGAUCAGGUAGGAAUACCCGCUGAACUUAA
rnacentral:misc_RNA from 1 species